rnacentral:rRNA from 1 species
AUUGAACGCUGGCGGCAUGCCUUACACAUGCAAGUCGAACGGCAGCACGGGUGCUUGCACCUGGUGGCGAGUGGCGAACGGGUGAGUAAUACAUCGGAACAUGUCCUGUAGUGGGGGAUAGCCCGGCGAAAGCUGGAUUAAUACCGCAUACGAUCCACGGAUGAAAGCGGGGGACCUUCGGGCCUCGCGCUAUAGGGUUGGCCGAUGGCUGAUUAGCUAGUUGGUGGGGUAAAGGCCUACCAAGGCGACGAUCAGUAGCUGGUCUGAGAGGACGACCAGCCACACUGGGACUGAGACACGGCCCAGACUCCUACGGGAGGCAGCAGUGGGGAAUUUUGGACAAUGGGCGAAAGCCUGAUCCAGCAAUGCCGCGUGUGUGAAGAAGGCCUUCGGGUUGUAAAGCACUUUUGUCCGGAAAGAAAUCCUUGGCUCUAAUACAGUCGGGGGAUGACGGUACCGGAAGAAUAAGCACCGGCUAACUACGUG